rnacentral:rRNA from 1 species
CCUACGGGAGGCAGCAGUGGGGAAUAUUGCACAAUGGGCGCAAGCCUGAUGCAGCAACGCCGCGUGAGGGACGACGGCCUUCGGGUUGUAAACCUCUUUUAGUAGGGAAGAAGCGAAAGUGACGGUACCUGCAGAAAAAGCACCGGCUAACUACGUGCCAGCAGCCGCGGUAAUACGUAGGGUGCAAGCGUUAUCCGGAAUUAUUGGGCGUAAAGAGCUCGUAGGCGGUUUGUCACGUCUGCUGUGAAAACUGGAGGCUCAACCUCCAGCCUGCAGUGGGUACGGGCAGACUAGAGUGCGGUAGGGGAGAUUGGAAUUCCUGGUGUAGCGGUGGAAUGCGCAGAUAUCAGGAGGAACACCGAUGGCGAAGGCAGAUCUCUGGGCCGUAACUGACGCUGAGGAGCGAAAGCAUGGGGAGCGAACAGGAUUAGAUACCCUGGUAGUCCAUGCCGUAAACGUUGGGAACUAGAUGUAGGGACCAUUCCACGGUUUCUGUGUCGCNGCUACGCAUACGUUACCCGUCCGUCGGGUAGGUACGGCCGCGACGACGUAAACGUUAAACGUAAGUAGUACGACGCGAGAGACGCGACGACGACGACGACGGAGGAGGAGG